CGUGAUCGGGCAGGAGUCUGCUGUGCUCCUGUUGGGUAAUGAUUAAUCGUUAUUGUUCUCCUUUUUGUUUCUUUUUUGUUUAUUGGUCUUUGGACAUAAUUAAUUAGUGGGGAAAUACUAGGAAAAAGAAUAAUGGAAUCUUUUUUCCUAAAUGACAUAAAGUUACUGUUUCUUGUCUUGCUUAUUUAAACAAAUUGCUAACUAUCAUUCUUAUAAAUUUUAUGGUCUCAUUAUUUUCACAAAUGGACCUUUUGAUUAUGAUAGUGACUAAAGAAUAUUAAUUCCCAUUGCCACCAUUUAUCUAGUCUAGUUUCUCUAUAAAUUGAUCUACGAUGUCUUGUGGCUAACCUUCGGCUAUGAUUUUGAGUCACAUUGCCAUGAUUUUUAUUUUUCUUUUUAGUUGCUGUUACUUAAAUAACGUAGAUGCAUAUUCUUCCAUUUUACUUGAAGUUAGAUUGGUUCAUGAAGUCCGAGAAGCUGCACAAGUGGUAGAGUCAAAAGCACAAGUAGCCAUGACUUGGGUAUGUCCAGUUUGCUCUUCUAGCAGUUUUUUGUCUUAUUUUAUUUGUUUUGUUGUUUACUCGUAAAUUUUGGACAAGAACCAUAAUAAAGAUGACCUUACUCGUAAAUUUCAAUAGCCAUAUACACCAGGCCAAGUGAAAUGAAAUUGAUGUUUGUCACUUCGUAUUUAUUUUAAGGUAUACCAUGAUCAAUUACUUUUUCUCUUUAUUUUUGGUUCUAGGACUUCUCAGUCUCACAGACUAAAAUAAAGCAUAUGGCAUACAGCAAUCCGGUAUCCGCUAACCAUGUUACAAGCUACAAAUCUGGUCCAAAUGCUUGCUUGCCAAGACGAGAUCACCAUGGUUGUGGGAUGUCUUCAAUAUGGGUUGAAUAUUUUGUACUAUUUUAAUAAGUUAUUUUUGGAGUAGUAAUUGAUACUUUUGGUAUAUUGAUGUCGACUUUUUGACUAGGCUAAUGAUGUUCUUAGUAAUCAUUUAGAUUAACUCUACAUUUUGGUAUAUUGUAUUUGAUUGCACUUAAUACUUUUAUUCAUUGAAAUUAUGGAAAACAUGAUUAUAUUA
rnacentral:lncRNA from 1 species